CCUUCAGUACUUCUUUGCAUUUUCAUUGUGGGUUAUACAAGAAUAUAUGUGAUUAUAUUAACUUUCGUUUUAUAUUCAACCUAAUAUGGAGACCUCAACACCGGGUAAACCAACAUAGGAGCUAUGACCCUGAGUGAAGGUCAGAUGGACUGUAGGGUUGUGGUAGUCCACGUUCUCUUCUGGCUCCUUUGUAAUGGGUUUCGGCGCAACAAUCACAUCAUCGGUUGUCAAGAUCUCCUCAGUUUUGUAUGUUAACACAUACUUGCCUUUAGGUGAAAGC